UGGCUCCAGGGCUUAUUUAAGAGUAAAAUUUGUGGCCUACGGCUGCGCCCCCGAUUUAUUCACAACGCUAGAUCUUCGUUGCUCUUCUUGUGCUCAAGAUAUAUACUCGAUGUACCCGUACGAGUCCAAGCUUGCGUAAGAUAAACUUAUCUAAAAUCAAACUGGAUUUUUGGUUCUAUGCCACGAAUUUCAACAACAAUUGAAACUUCUAUUUUAAAUCUAGUAUUUACUAUGAUAAGCUGUGCUAUAGAUGUGUAGCUAUUCGAAUGAUUGUUGUAAGCUAUAUGGGAUUUCUAGCGAGCGGUGACACAGCAGGUCUCUGAUCGUUGUUUUGUUAAUUUCAUCAGAGAAAUAGAUCGUUGUGUAAGAGAAUAAAUAAUACUUAACCAGCACGUACUAACAAAAGAAAACUGAAAUCUUCUACCCAUCGCAAUCUGGAGUCACAACUAUUUUCUUAUUACAAUUAGUAUGUUAAUAUCAAUGAAUCACUUGGCCUUACAGAAGUAGAUAUUAACUGGCCCCAUCUCUGAACUGAUGCGAGCACCUCUGUUGAUGAAAGUCUCGGGCUAUUGUUCAUCUGUUUGUUUUCUUCAAUUUGAUCUUGAUUGCCUUAAAAACGCAGGUUUGUAGAAUCUGUCCAUAGAUUUUGCAGACAUUUUCAACGCUUACAUUUAUAUACCUUUCUGUAUAAUCACUGCACUACUCAAUAUCUCGAUGGAAUAUUUUACUAUCCAUUACAGUUGAUGACAAUU